UGCUUCCUGUUAGCUGUUAGCCGUUAGCUGUGUGGUGUUUAUGUCUUGCUUUGCGGCGGAUUUUUCUUCAUAAAACUCAAAUUUUCUCCUGUUGUUAUGGAUUAUGGCUUCGUUGACUGUCACUGUCACAUAUCAGCCCCUGAGUUCCAGCAGCAUCCGGUUCCCGGUUCUGUUUGUGUUCUGUUGGUCGUAACGGGACCAAAUGUGAAAAGGUCAGCGCCUUCUGAAGACUUCAGAUCUCAGCCGUCUCGUUUCUCUUCUGCAGGAUCUUCCGGAUGUGAUCCACAGAACCAGGCAGCCCCCAUGUGUUCAGGCCGGGGUGAAGACUCUGGUGGCCGUCACAGAGGAAGUGGAGGAUUUCUCCAGAGUUCUCCGUCUGCAGGAAAGAUAUCCGGACCUGGUGGCUCCGUGUCUGGGGCUGCACCCCCUGCAGGCCGCCGGGGGUCAGCGCAGCGUCCGGCCUCAGGACCUGGAAGAAGCUCUGCCUCUUUUCUACAGCCACAGAGAACGACUGGUCGCCAUCGGAGAGGUCGGGUUGGAUUUCACUCCGUGGUGCGCUCCGACCCAGCAGGACAGAGACGACCAGAUGAAGGUCUUCAUCGGACAGCUGGACGUCGCCAUGGAGAUGGACCUACCUGUGAACGUCCACUCCCGCUCUGCAGCCAAAGUCACCAUAGACACCAUGAGACGGCGAGAGCUUUGCUGCAUAACUUCUCUGGGAAGCCGGCGGCAGCUAUGGAGGCUGUGGAGGCCGGAUUCUUCUUCUCUUUCCCUCCUGCUGUCUGCAGGAACCAGCAGGUAAGACGGGUCACCAUGUCCACCAACACCUGGUGGACAGGAAAAGUUCUACCUUGUACCAUGGAGGUCCACAGAUCCAAACCACAAUGAAAUGUUGUGGAUAUGAGCUUCCCAAUAAUACAGUUGGAAGGUUGGAGGUGACAGUCCGCCGCUGAAUUUGCAUCUAUGAAGUGAGGAUUAGUGGUUUUCCACCUGUAGGAACCCAGAGCUCACCUGAUCCGACGUUUAGAAAAAAUGCUUUGGCAGAAAAAGUGGGAGACAGUUGAGCAAGAAUAGGAAUUUGGGUAAAAUGUUCAUUUUAAAGGAAUUAAUUUUACCGAUAAGCAAGAGAGAUAAAUUAUUCCAUCUUUGGAGGUGAAAUUUGAUAAAUUAAAGGCUAAAGAUUAGCUGUGAAAGAGCUUAGUGGUCUGUUUCCUCUGACCCCGAGGUACGCAAAGCCAGAGGAGUGAAAAUAGUUACUCUGUAACCUGAAGAGGAUCCAAAUCUCUGAAGAGCAGAUCAAAUUAACCCUUUAAGCAUCAAAUCCACUCUGGCCGUUGGCUCUCCGUUCCUCCUGAAAUGUUUCAGACAUUCAGUUUCUUUAGCCUCAGAAUAACUGAGAUGUUUCCGUCACUGAGAAGCAGUCAGAGUAAACGGCUCGGCUCCAGCGACUGACCAGAGACCGGCUGAUCCAGCGGAUCCCUCUGGAUCACAUCUGCCUGGAGAUGGACGCUCCGGCCCUCGGCCUCCACAGGAACGUGAGUCAGUCGCCGCCGUCCCUCAGGGACAGACGCUGAGACGACCGUCCUCCUCCUGUCCCCGUCUGCUCGACAGGAGAGAAACGAGCCGGCUAACAUCGCCCUGUCCUGCAGCUACAUUGCUAAGGUCAAAGGUCAGACGCCAGAAACGGUCCGGGAGGUCACGACUCAGAAUGCCUACAGGCUGUUCAGCAGAGCCAGCAGAUAAUCAGACAAACCCUGAGGAACACCAGGAACACCAUGCUGCUCAGCGCGGGUUUCAUUUCAGUUUUAAUACAUGUAGAAACAUCUAGGUGACUUUACA